rnacentral:rRNA from 1 species
UACGGAGGGUGCGAGCGUUGUCCGGAAUCAUUGGGCGUAAAGCGCGUGUAGGCGGUUCGGUAAGUCUGCUGUGAAAGUCCAGGGCUCAACCCUGGGAUGCCGGUGGAUACUGUCGAACUAGAGUACGGAAGAGGCGAGUGGAAUUCCCGGUGUAGCGGUGAAAUGCGCAGAUAUCGGGAGGAACACCAAUUGCGAAGGCAGCUCGCUGGGACGUCACUGACGCUGAGACGCGAAAGCGUGGGGAGCAAACAGG